AUUUACUUAUUUACUCCUU
rnacentral:sRNA from 1 species